rnacentral:rRNA from 1 species
GACGAACGCUGGCGGCGUGCUUAACACAUGCAAGUCGAACGGAAAGGCCCUGCUUUUGUGGUGUGCUCGAGUGGCGAACGGGUGAGUAACACGUGAGUAACCUGCCCUUGACUUUCGGAUAACUUCAGGAAACUGGGGCUACUACCGGAUAGGAGCUCCUGUUGCAUGGUGGGCGUUGGAACGUUUCGGCGGUUGGGGAUGGACUCGCGGCUUAUCAGCUUGUUGGUGGGGUAGUGGCUUACCAAGGCUUUGACGGGUAGCCGGCCUGAGAGGGUGACCGGCGACAUGGGGACUGAGAUACGGACCAGACGCGUACGGGAGGCAGCAGUGGGGAAUAUGGAACAAUGGGAGGAAGCCUGAGGCAGCAACGCCGCGUGCGGGAUGACGGCCUUCGGGGUGUAAAACGCUGUAGGCUGUGACGAAGCGGGAGUGACGGUAAUGGAUAAAGAAGCACCGGCUAACUACGUG